GCCCUCAUCCACCUCUCGACCCACACCAAAUAGGGUUUCCGUCCGCCACCGCCGCUCGCAUCGUCGCCUUCUCCUCAGCUCUUGAGCUCCCACCCCUCUCGCUCGCCAGUCGCCUGUGCCCCGAGCCCCCACUAGCCCGACCUUGGAGGAGGCUGCGGUCGCCGGAUCCAGCCAUGGCCGUCACCAACGCCCUCCUCUCCAUCGCCGCAGGCCCAUGUUGGAUUCAGCCGGCGUGCCGGCCGAGCGCGCAACCCUAACCUCAAUUAGGAGCCCGAGGGAGGGGGAGCGGGACUGGAGCUCGAUUCAGCCGCCGUGCCUUGGAUUCAGCCGCCGUGCUAUACCCGGGGGAGGGGGGAGCGGGACUGGAGCUUGAUUUGGACAGGGGGCGGUUUGUGGCUCCCGUGCGCGUUGAAGAUCCGGCGGCGGCCGCGUCCUGCAUCAACGGCGCGACGAGGAAUCAUAGGACAGAUGGGAGAGAUGAGGAGAUGGGAGGAGGAAGGAAGGAACGGGGAGGGACUCACCGACGCGGUGGCACUGGCCGGAGGCUGGCUGGCGGCAGGGUCACACGAAAACGGCGGCACGCGUGUGGCACCCUCCCCGGCGGCGCGAGCAGGAAGGAGGAGGUGCACAGGAGGCGUAGGUGCUACGGUGAGAUGGGCUUCAGAUGUGCAGCCGGCCCUAGCGCUGCAACUUCUGCAUCAGAGAAGGUGGAAGAUAAUCUGUUCAAUCUUUUCAAAGGUACAUUGGUGAAAUGCAGCAACCAGAUAAAAGAAAUGCAUUACUCCAUCACCACACUGAUGCUCCAUCUCCCUCUGAUGGCAAGUGCGACCCUGAUGAAGCUGCUCCCCUACAUCAAGGACUACCCCAACAGUGCGGCCUUGAUGGCACAACUCCCAUACACCAAGGACUAGCCCCAUGGUGCGGCCACGACAUCACUGCUCCCCUACACCGCCGACUACAACCUGAGAUCUUAGAACAGGUUUGCAGGUUCAUUGGAACAAAUGUUCAAAAGGAAGAUGCACAGUUUGCAGGUUCAUUGGAACAAAUGUUCAAAAGGAAGAUGCACAGUAAGAAUUACAGUAAGAAGUUCAACUACGAGCCCAGACAUGAGGUAUUUUAACCGCCAACAGAGGGUGUGUUGCGCUAAAAAAUAGUAAUCUUCGCUCCAAAUUCUUAGGUCACUGGCCCAGGUUAGUGCCCAUUGUCAUUGUGCAUCUCUGUUAACUAUUUUAGAACUAGCACAAAUCUGAGUAGGGCUGGAACAAAAUGAACACCCAGGGUUCGAGUACCUCUACUAUGAUAUAAUUAUCUUCCAAACAGGUGUCAUUUCCUUAUCAAGAUGGUUCUCGUGAUUUAGGAAAACUAACAACACCUCAAUGGUCUUCGCACUAGAUUAGCUGUAGGAUCCAUUUUCCGGAGCAUUUUGAUUUUGGUGGACUAUUUAGAUACUUCCAUACAUACACUUUACUGAAGGUUAUUUUGACGGAACGUUAGCUUGGAAGCUUUUCCAUACUUUUUGUAACUAUCCUUCAGCAAAACUAGAUGCAGUUUGUGUUGUGAUGAAAUUAAGAUUGCUCACAAUAUUUUGCAGGAUAAAAUUAAUUACAAUGUAAGUUCUUUGGUGUGUGAUCCAUUACAAUACAGGAAGUUUGUGGUUUAUGCCAUAAAAUUUCAGUUAAUAUUUGGUACAUGAAGUGAUCUAAGUCUGCCACACUGUUUGCAUUUGUAGCUUGCUUUGUUUAAUAAAUAGAUUGAUCUUAUUUUCUAUAAACUUUUUUAUUUAACCUACUAACUUCAAAUACAUUAUAUUUGAUCCUUCAAGGGGCAAAAUAGUUCAGCUCUUUGUUUUACAAGUUUCAGGAUUGAAGGGGGAGAUGCUACAGCAGUACAACUACAAGUUCCCUUGCUUCUUUGUAAGGGAACCAAUCAACUAACUUAAUGAGAUUGAUGCACGAGAGCUUCUAGAUGUUCUUCUCGAUCUUGAAUAUUCAUUUUCUCCAACUAUGCAAGAUUUGCUUGUGUAUAAGUUUGAUAAGGCCAGGGGCAAGAACAAAGUGGUUGAUUCAUUGAAUGAAGUAUGCGUUAUGUACAGUCCUCCAGAAUUCAGAAAUUGAUCUAUAAUUCUGUGAAGAGAAGGUUUUCAAACCCAAAGGAGCAUUGGCAACCUUAGGGACUUGGGCGCCAACGUGUAGUCCCAGCAGAAGUUGCUCACCCGGAAGGUGGUCUUCUCCAAGGCCUCCCUAGCCUUUGAACAAGACCGCUCCAUCAAGGGUAAACCAUUGAGUGGCAAUGAUACAUGUGUGUCCAUACGACAUAGUGAUUAGCAGCAUGAGGUGCUGAGCACAUCGCGUGUGUGUCUGUAUGUGUGCGCUGAUAUGUGGUUCAUGAGGAACAAACUGAUUAAGCAUGCUCCAAAGCUACGAGUGACUGAACUAGGUUGAAACCAAGAGGGCAUUGUAAACUUUGAUGACACUUUGUGGGAAACCAAUUACUUCAUGGCCAGAGGUGAUUUUGGAAUGGAGAUUUCAGUUGAGAAGAUAUCCCUUGCACAGAAAAUGAUGAUCUACAAGUGCAACCUUGCUGCCCUCUUGAUGACAUCAUGGAGAGAUUAAGAACAUCAGCAACAUCUUGCGGUGUUCCUCCUCAUCGUUGUUGUCACCACCGAAUAAUGACGACCAGCUCAUUAGACCGCUACUAGAGCAUUGGAGCCUUCUUGAGAAGGCAACACACCUGAGAUCAGGAGAGAGUGCGCGCGAGAGAGGGGGAGAGAGCGAGGGAGCGAGGGAAGGGGGAAUUGGGAGAGAGAUCUUGCACACAUUGGUAGGAAAAACAUGUUCUGAAAUAUAAAUGAGAUUUGAUGGUAAGUCAUCAUUGUGUUUGUUCCCUAUCUGUCAGAUACCAUAACCUUAAUGUCGGAUGUGU